AGAAGUCAGCCCUGUGGCAGGAGGCAGAAGCUGGGAUGGGUGCCCACAAAGGAAGCCUUAUUUUCCAAGGCAGCCAGAGAAUCAUGGGUCUGAACUUAUCCCGUCUUCUCAGAUGGAGGACUAAGACCCAGAAAGAGGGAGGAAUUUGUCCAAGCUCUCCCAGUGAGCUGAUGCCAGAGCCAGGACUAGAACUCAGGUCUCCCAAUUCUCAGCACAGUGUGAUUUUCCUUGCAGAAUGUUGAUGCUCAAAGAACAGGAACCCCAGAACCCCAGGGAGGUAAGGAAGAAGAGCACAGCCAGGAUCAGAAGAGUGAAGAAACAAUGAUGUCCCACAGGUCACAGGGAGUAAGUAGCUGCUCUAGGGGUGAACCCAAGAGUGGUGAUUCACUGUCCAAACUACUGGCUGGAGGAGAGCUCGUGGUGGUCAUCUCUUCCCAACUAUGGCAGUGGCUAUGGCCUAACAGCUGGAGGCAGGAACAGGGCAGUGACAAGAAUCAGCAACUGCAUAGGGGCCUCAUCAAUUUCCAGUCCUCCAUCCAGAAGAGGACAGGACAUGCUCAAGCUGCCCCAAAGAGAAAGGACAAAGGAGAGGAAUUCUGAGAUGC
rnacentral:lncRNA from 10 species